UACAGAGGUCUCAAGCGUUGUUCGGAUUCAUUGGGCGUAAAGGGUGCGUAGGCGGUGAUGUAAGUUGGAUGUGAAAUCCCGGAGCUUAACUCCGGAACUGCAUUCAAUACUGCGUUGCUAGAGUACUGGAGAGGAGAUUGGAAUUCACGGUGUAGCAGUGAAAUGCGUAGAUAUCGUGAGGAAGACCAGUGGCGAAGGCGAAUCUCUGGACAGUUACUGACGCUGAGGCACGAAGGCCAGGGGAGCAAACAGG
rnacentral:rRNA from 1 species